AGAGUUUGAUCAUGGCUCAGGAUGAACGCUGGCGGCAUGCCUAAUACAUGCAAGUCGAACGAAGUGCUUUAUGCACUUAGUGGCGAAUGGGUGAGUAACACGUAUUUAAUCUACCUAAUAGUGAGGGACAACAGUUAGAAAUGACUGCUAAUACCGCAUAGUAUAUUUUAUGGCAUCAUAAAAUAUUUAAAGGCGCUUCGGCGUCGCUAUUAGAUGAGGAUGCGGCGUAUUAGCUUGUUGGUAAGGUAAUGGCUUACCAAGGCAAUUAUACGUAGCCGGCCUGAGAGGGUGAACGGCCACAUCGGGACUGAGACACGGCCCGGACUCCUACGGGAGGCAGCAGUAAGGAAUUUUUCACAAUGGACGAAAGUCUGAUGGAGCAAUGCCGCGUGAUUGAUGACAGCCUUAGGGUUGUAAAAAUCUGUUAUAGAGAAAGAAUUGUCAGUAUAGGAAAUGAUAUUGGCUUGACGGUACUUUAUCAGAAAGACACGGCAAACUAUGUGCCAGCAGCCGCGGUAAUACAUAGGUGUCAAGCGUUAUCCGGAUUUAUUGGGCGUAAAGAGUGCGCAGACGGUAUGAUAAGUUUGAGGUUAAAGGCUAGGGCUUAACCCUAGCUCGCCUUGAAAACUGUCUUACUAGAGUGUGGUAGAAGUUGAUGGAAUUUCAUGUGUAGCGGUGGAAUGCGUAGAUAUAUGAAGGAACACCAGUGGCGAAGGCGAUCAACUAUGCUAUUACUGACGUUCAUGCACGAAAGCGUGGGGAGCAAAUAGGAUUAGAUACCCUAGUAGUCCACGCUGUAAACGAUGAGUACUAAGUGUCGACAUUAGUCGGUGCUGCAGCUAACGCAUUAAGUACUCCGCCUGAGUAGUAUGCUCGCAAGAGUGAAACUCAAAGGAAUUGACGGGGACCCCGCACAAGCGG
rnacentral:rRNA from 1 species